AGAGUUUGAUCCUGGCUCAGGAUGAACGCUGGCGGCGUGCCUAAUACAUGCAAGUCGAGCGAACAGACGAGGAGCUUGCUCCUUUGACGUUAGCGGCGGACGGGUGAGUAACACGUGGGUAACCUACCUAUAAGACUGGGAUAACUUCGGGAAACCGGAGCUAAUACCGGAUGAUAUUUCGAACCGCAUGGUUCGAUAGUGAAAGAUGGCUCUGCUAUCACUUAUAGAUGGACCUGCGCCGUAUUAGCUAGUUGGUAAGGUAACGGCUUACCAAGGCAACGAUACGUAGCCGACCUGAGAGGGUGAUCGGCCGCACUGGAACUGAGACACGGUCCAGACUCCUACGGGAGGCAGCAGUAGGGAAUCUUCCGCAAUGGGCGAAAGCCUGACGGAGCAACGCCGCGUGAGUGAUGAAGGUCUUCGGAUCGUAAAACUCUGUUAUUAGGGAAGAACAAACGUGUAAGUAACUGUGCACGUCUUGACGGUACCUAAUCAGAAAGCCACGGCUAACUACGUGCCAGCAGCCGCGGUAAUACGUAGGUGGCAAGCGUUAUCCGGAAUUAUUGGGCGUAAAGCGCGCGUAGGCGGUUUUUUAAGUCUGAUGUGAAAGCCCACGGCUCAACCGUGGAGGGUCAUUGGAAACUGGAAAACUUGAGUGCAGAAGAGGAAAGUGGAAUUCCAUGUGUAGCGGUGAAAUGCGCAGAGAUAUGGAGGAACACCAGUGGCGAAGGCGACUUUCUGGUCUGUAACUGACGCUGAUGUGCGAAAGCGUGGGGAUCAAACAGGAUUAGAUACCCUGGUAGUCC
rnacentral:rRNA from 1 species